rnacentral:rRNA from 1 species
GAUUAACGCUAGCGGCAGGCCUAAUACAUGCAAGUCGAACGGGAUUAUUGGUAGCAAUACUGAUAUGAGAGUGGCGCACGGGUGCGUAACGCGUAUGCAACCUACCUUUAACUGGGGGAUAGCCUUCCGAAAGGAAGAUUAAUACCGCAUAAAACAAUGAAGUGGCAUCACUAUAUUGUCAAAACUCCGGUGGUUAAAGAUGGGCAUGCGUAAUAUUAGCUAGUUGGGAGGUAAUGGCUCACCAAGGCUACGAUAUUUAGGGGGUCUGAGAGGAUGAUCCCCCACACUGGUACUGAGACACGGACCAGACUCCUACGGGAGGCAGCAGUAAGGAAUAUUGGACAAUGGUGGAAACACUGAUCCAGCCAUGCCGCGUGCAGGAUGAAU